CACACACAAGCUGCAUAUGCAGAAGUGCCAGCCCAAUUGUAGCUGAGCUGGGGAGGACAGAACAGUGCAAACUGCCACCCGUGCAGUUCCUCUUUUUGCUAUAAUCUGACAGAUUUGAUGAAUUGGCCACGCUCCGCCUCUGGUUGAGCAGUUUCCUGUUUGCGGUCUUAUUGCCAGCGUCCAUCUGUGGUGUCUUCUCCAGGAUCUGCACAGUCUCUCCUAUCUCCAGAACCAGGGCCUGACAUACUGAGCUCCGGAAGUUGCAGAUCACUGAGGAGAAAGAAAAGGAUCAACAAUGUUACAUUCAUGAAGUUAUCUGUGUUUCUGCUGUAGCCAACAUGUUGUCAAGAAUGACGCCUCGCCAAAGGGAAGCAUCAGGGAGUGUUUUUUUGUUUUUGUUUUUUGGCGGUGCUGUCGGGUCCGGGUGUCAGAACCGGAGCUACCUGGAAGGCCUCAGACAGUUUGUUGGAUUCCCAUGCCUUGGUAGGUUCGACGGGUUCCCCUGCCUCAGCUGGCUUGACGUGUUUCCAUACCUCAGUGGGAUCGAUAGGCUCCCAUGCCUGAUGAACCAGCUCAUCGGGCUCUCAUGCCUCAGCCGGUUCAUCAGGUUUCUGCGCCUCAGCGGAGGCCACCAGUCCGUUCCUGAUCCCCGAGAUUGACCCUGUGAUUGGCGUCCUGCGGCUGGAGCCAGCUGCGCCGGGGAGGUGGUACUGUCACGUAUGCUCUCUCCUGCGCUCUAGGUCGCCAUGCUCCCGCACCUCAGCUGGAUCGACAGGUUCCCGCGCCAUAGCAGAGGUGACUGGUCCGCUCCUGACUACUUUUGGUUUCUUACCCAGUCAUCAUUGUUUCUGUUUCCUGUCUGUGCGUUGUUUGUGUUUCUUGUUUUGUAUUAUGUUUCGUUCAUUUAUUAAAU